rnacentral:lncRNA from 1 species
UCCUUGUGCAUAUAAACCUAUUUCUACUAGUUUCCCUCAUUUCAUUAUCUGGUGGACUUUUUUAACCUAUUUCUACUAGUUUCCCUCAUUUCAUUAUCUGGUGGACUUUUUUAGUUGAUAAUGCAAGUAGAGAUACUGACAGCCAUUGUGAUUAAUUAUGAUUACUCUUACUUUAUGACAUAUAUGGAAAGUGCGUAAUAAAUUAGUUUUUGAGAAUAUUUUUCCAGACUAUGUCUCUAUGGCACGUUCUAUUUCACUUGAUUUUUCUCAUCUGCGGCAGUUUGGUGUUUUUGCUGAUCCUUCUCAUCCCAGACAAAAAUUCAUUACCCAGUUUUAGUUGGGUUCCUCCUCCUUCAAGUCUUUUCAAACUUAAUUGUGAUAUUGCAAAUGGAAGGAUUCGUUUUCUCCUACUGUUGUGGCUGUUGUUAUUACUAAUUGUGAUGAUUUUAUUAUUCAUGAACUUGCCAAACAAGUGUGGUCUUACUCAGCUGCAGCUCGUGAAGCUAAAGCUCUAUUAGAAGGUCUGAAACCAGCACUCUUCCUCGGUUUAUGCUCCAUUGAGUGUGAAAUGGAUUUAGGCAUUUUAGCUCAUGCUGUUCAACAACCUACAUAACCUCUGCCAUAAGAUAUUUCUGCGUUAGUUGCAUCAAUUCUUACGCUUAGUUCACGUUUCUAAUAUUUCCCCUUUCUAUCUAUUUCUCAUCAGGCGAAUACGUGAGCCGAUAUGGUGACUAAAUUAACUUUAAAACAUGUACUACUG